UACGGAGGGGGCUAGCGUUGUUCGGAAUUACUGGGCGUAAAGCGCACGUAGGCGGCUUUGUAAGUUAGAGGUGAAAGCCCAGGGCUUAACCCUGGAAUUGCCUUUAAGACUGCAUCGCUAGAAUUGUGGAGAGGUAAGUGGAAUUCCGAGUGUAGAGGUGAAAUUCGUAAAUAUUCGGAAGAACACCAGUGGCGAAGGCGACUUACUGGACACAUAUUUGACG
rnacentral:rRNA from 1 species